UCUGCUGUGUGACUCUCAAGAGAAGCUGUCCAGAGCUGUAUGUAGAGUGAUAUGUCACAAGAGUUCACCAUGAAGACUCCACCUUGUGAAACUGCAGAUAUACAUGGAAGGAGAGAGCCUAAAUUAAGAUGACUGAAAAAGGAGCUCUGCUAACUAGCAGCCACACAGGGAAGUGUUUUCCUGGGUCAGCAGACAAAGAUGCCAGCAGUGCCUACCAGCCUCAGGAGUGAGUGGUGACUGGAUGACUGACCUCAGAACUGCUGGAUUGCAAGCAGCAAAAGGCUCCCAGCUACUGUAGUCAGUGAACAGCUUUGGGGAAGAAGAAGGUCUCUGGAUAAAAGAAAUUCCUGAUGGUGAACUUGGACAUGUUCCUGGGCUGACAGAGAGCCAGUGUUCGUCUCUAUGCCUCCUGACUGUAGAAGCCAUGUGACCAGUCACCUCACACCUCUGCUGCCAUGAUGGAUUACAUUCUCAAACUGAGUUCAAACUACCCCUUCCUUUCCUUCUUACAUUGCUUUUGUCAAGCAUUUUGUCACAGCAGAGACAGAAGGAACAAGAAGCUAGCAGUAGCUACUCAGGAUCCACCAGACUCCUCAAAGGCAGAUACAUGUCAAGAAUAGUGUGGCAAUGGUGUUCUUAAAGACUCUUUAGAGAUGACCCACUACUGCCAGGGACUAGGUGAGGCCCAGAGAACCUAAACCAGAAGCUACAGGUUACAGAGCUGACCUGUUUCUAAGUCUCUGUUUGCUGAGAACAAAAUCAUCUUUGUCUUUCCAUAAUAGUUUAUGUUUUGAAAUUUUCAUAGAAGUAUUUAAUGCAUUUUAAUCUUAUCCACUCCACACCACCUCCCUCCAAUACCCUUGGGGCCCAUCAACAUAUCUCCCACUUGAGUUCAUGGUCUUUAAAAAGAAUAUUAUUAAUAGCUCCAGAGUCUAAUUAGUGCUGUUUGGAAAUGAUUGUGGGAACAUUUACAGGGGCAUGGGCAGUCUCCUACAGCCUCGACCCCAAGAAAAGUGACUUUUUCCUCAGCAGCUAUGAACUUCCAGUAGUUCUCCCAGCAAGGCUGGGCCUGGACAGCACUUUCCUGUCCAUGAGAAUUUUUACUGACAGAGUUUUAAGCAGGCAACCACAGCUACUUCCUGUGACUUAGUGUGCAAAAGGCAGUGUUUCACAGCUCUCCUCCUUGUCCUCCAGCUCUUAACAUUCUUUCAACCCCUCUGCUCUGGUGUCUUUGGACCCUAGAAUUGAGGUGUGGGCUUGAUGCAGAUGACUCAUGACUGAUUCUCUGUUGAAAUAUGAGCGGCGGGGCUGCGUCCCCAACACCCCGGCCGCUUGGCUAGCUCAUGCCCGAAAUAACAACACACAAACUGUAUUCAUUUAAGAACUGCUUGGCCCAUGAACUCUAGCCCUUACAGGCUAAUUCUCGCACCUGGACUAGCCCAUUUCUAAUAAUGUG